AAGGUGGCCUGUGAGGGUUGCUGGAGGUAUCAGAAGUGCGAAUGCUGACAUAAGUAACGAUAAAGCGGGUGAAAAGCCCGCUCGCCGGAAGACCAAGGGUUCCUGUCCAACGUUAAUCGGGGCAGGGUGAGUCGACCCCUAAGGCGAGGCCGAAAGGCGUAGUCGAUGGGAAACGGGUUAAUAUUCCCGUACUUGGUGUUACUGCGAAGGGGGGACGGAGAAGGCUAUGUUGGCCGGGCGACGGUUGUCCCGGUUUAAGCGUGUAGGUGUGUGUUCCAGGUAAAUCCGGUUCACUUUAACACUGAGGCGUGACGACGAGGCACUACGGUGCUGAAGCAACAAAUGCCCUGCUUCCAGGAAAAGCCUCUAAGCAUCAGGUAACACGAAAUCGUACCCCAAACCGACACAGGUGGUCAGGUAGAGAAUACCAAGGCGCUUGAGAGAACUCGGGUGAAGGAACUAGGCAAAAUGGUGCCGUAACUUCGGGAGAAGGCACGCUGACACGUAGGUGAAGUGAUUUACUCAUGGAGCUGAAGUCAGUCGAAGAUACCAGCUGGCUGCAACUGUUUAUUAAAAACACAGCACUGUGCAAACACGAAAGUGGACGUAUACGGUGUGACGCCUGCCCGGUGCCGGAAGGUUAAUUGAUGGGGUCAGCGCAAGCGAAGCUCCUGAUCGAAGCCCCGGUAAACGGCGGCCGUAACUAUAACGGUCCUAAGGUAGCGAAAUUCCUUGUCGGGUAAGUUCCGACCUGCACGAAUGGCGUAAUGAUGGCCAGGCUGUCUCCACCCGAGACUCAGUGAAAUUGAACUCGCUGUGAAGAUGCAGUGUACCCGCGGCAAGACGGAAAGACCCCGUGAACCUUUACUAUAGCUUGACACUGAACAUUGAGCCUUGAUGUGUAGGAUAGGUGGGAGGCUUUGAAGUGUGGACGCCAGUCUGCAUGGAGCCGGCCUUGAAAUACCACCCUUUAAUGUUUGAUGUUCUAACGUGGACCCGUUACCCGGGUUGCGGACAGUGUCUGGUGGGUAGUUUGACUGGGGCGGUCUCCUCCUAAAGAGUAACGGAGGAGCACGAAGGUUGGCUAAUCCUGGUCGGACAUCAGGAGGUUAGUGCAAUGGCAUAAGCCAGCUUGACUGCGAGCGUGACGGCGCGAGCAGGUGCGAAAGCAGGUCAUAGUGAUCCGGUGGUUCUGAAUGGAAGGGCCAUCGCUCAACGGAUAAAAGGUACUCCGGGGAUAACAGGCUGAUACCGCCCAAGAGUUCAUAUCGACGGCGGUGUUUGGCACCUCGAUGUCGGCUCAUCACAUCCUGGGGCUGAAGUAGGUCCCAAGGGUAUGGCUGUUCGCCAUUUAAAGUGGUACGCGAGCUGGGUUUAGAACGUCGUGAGACAGUUCGGUCCCUAUCUGCCGUGGGCGCUGGAGAACUGAGGGGGGCUGCUCCUAGUACGAGAGGACCGGAGUGGACGCAUCACUGGUGUUCGGGUUGUCAUGCCAAUGGCACUGCCCGGUAGCUAAAUGCGGAAGAGAUAAGUGCUGAAAGCAUCUAAGCACGAAACUUGCCCCGAGAUGAGUUCU
rnacentral:rRNA from 1 species